rnacentral:lncRNA from 1 species
AAAUAGUUGUCUUUGUCAAGAAUACAUAGUGUUGAGUUUUUGUCUGCUUUACGUAUUAUAAUGUUAUUAUUUUUCUUUAGAUUCCGAAUAGCCGACAAUUCCUCGGCAGAUAUAUUUCUGAUGUGUUUGUUUAUUUUCAUUCUACUAAGUUCUAUUUUUGUUGAGAAUAUGUAAUUUUCAAUUGCUGGACAAGAAUCCAGUGGUUUAUAUCCCGAAUUUAUGUAAAAAGGGUGUCUCUUGUAAAUUCUACCAUCAUUAUAGAGAUAUCGACAUCUAAGUUUUCUUGAGAAUUCGUCAAAGUCCUUCAUAAAGUUUCGUAUGGCAUUUUUGUUCGAAGGGUUAAUUAUGAACUUUACACCUUUUGCAAGUAAUAAGGUUUC